rnacentral:lncRNA from 1 species
GCAGAGACCAAUGAUGAGUGUAUUAAUCUAUUUUUUAAUGGAUUUUUAUUAAACAAAUAAUAAAAGAAACACAGUCUAUUCUUCCUGAGGGCAAUAACUCUAGACAGAUGUAAAUAUUCUUCAGUGUUCUUGUCCAGUGCUGUGAGAUCACAGAUACUGAUGUCUUUUGUAUAUGAGAAGGAACUUGCAUUUUUAUGUCUCAGUUUAUAUUUUAGAGUCAGCAAACCAUGGACCAAUUAGGAACAAAUGUUAUGAUAUGAGAAUGCUGAUUCUUGUUUUUUUUUUUCAUGAUAGACAUUCUAAGAAAAACUCUAGGCUCUCUCAUUGUUUUUGGAAUACAUACAUGGUUCUUUCCAAGUAGUUUCUUAGAAAAAUGUUUUUAAAAAGAGGCUUUUAAAAAGAGCCUUUUAAAAUGUUUUUAAAAGAAGGCUUUAUUUUUCUCUAUAGAAUGAAAACCAUGUAGCUGGUCUUAUUAUUCUCUAAUCAUGAAGACCAUUAUUGUUAUUUGUGGACUAAGGAGCAGAAAGACUGAUAGUGGACAUAGGCCAGCUGAUUUAAUAAUUUAAGAAAGAACUGUUAUCCUGAGUAAGGAGCAUAGAGACAAAUAUAAAAUGAACGCACUCUACCUGAUUUAAUUAUAGUCUUCUGGUGAAGAUCUUGCUGUUAUCUCUGUGAAUCAGGAGAGAAGAGAUUGAUAAGGAAUAGACGAGAUUGGAUUUGGUCAUUUCCCCAAGGUGAAGAGCAUGGCGAUUUCUUCUGUGGUAAGGAGCAAUAAUGAAGACCAUGGUUGAUUUAAUCAGUCUCUGCUGAUGAAGAUCUUGGCUGUUACCUUUGUGUAAUGAAUGCGCAAUGAUUCAAUUAUUCUCCAGCGAGGAAGAUCAUGGUUGUUGUCUGUUUGAGUAAUGAGUGUAGAAACCUAUAAUGGAGGCGUGAUGGCUGAUGCAAUCAUUUUCCACUGAUGAAGGUUUUGAUGGCCACCUGUAAUGAACAGCCCCAUCUGAUUUAAUCACUGUGCAAUGACCGUGAACUGUACAGUUACCUCCGUGUGUCACAGGAAGACUCUUUUGACUUAAGCACCCUUCCAUGGUCAUGAGGUUUCUGGUUGCCUCUGUGUGUUAGAAGCUUGGAGACCAAUGCCUUCUGCUGUGAUCGCGUUCUCCACAGUUGCCUCUGGGUAGGAGCCUGGACACUAAUAGAAAAUGGAUGCACUUGAGCCGACCUAAGCAUUCAUGGUCAUGAGAUUUGUGGUUGCCACUGUUGGUUAGGAGCAUAGAGAUCAGUAAUGGACACACCUGGGCUGGCAGAACAUCUUGCCUUGAUCUGGAGCCCCAUGUCUGCCCCUCUGUAGAGGUGCACAUGGGCCAAUGAUGGAUGCAAUGAGCUGAUCAUUUUGCUGUGAUCAAGGCUAUGUUGCCUCUGUGUUAGGCCAAUGGUUGAUGUUCAUGGGUGAUUGAUCAUCCUGUAGCGACGGUGGUAUUGACUGUUCCCCAGAGGACAAGGAGUGUGUUCUUAUAAUGGACAUCAUGAUUGGGAUUGUCUUUAUUAAACUUUGUCAGGAGAGUAAAGAUCAAUGUGGCCACAUGUUGUGGCUCAUGCCUGUAAUCCCAACACUGUAAUCCCAGCACUGUAAUCCCAGCCUGUAAUCCCAGGCUGAGGUGGGCGGAUCACCUGAGGUUGGGAGUUCGAGACCAGCCUGACCAACAUGGAGAAACCCCGUCUCUACUAAAAAUACAAAAUUAGCCGGGCAUGGUGGCGCAUGUCUUUAAUUCCAGCUACUCAGGAGGCUGAGGCAGGAGAAACGCUUGAACCCGAGAGGCGGAGGUUGCAGUGAGCUGAGAUUGCGCCAUUGCACUCCAGCCUGGGCAACAAGAGUGAAACUCCAUCUCAAAAGAAAAAAAAAAGAAAACAAAACAAAAAAAGAAAAAACCAAUGUAAGUACCUGUUAAAGUUCUUGCUAUGGUUCCAGUGGUUUGCUUCCUAACUGUGUUAUUUAGAAAUUUGAAGUAUAUUUAAUGAAUGUCCUCCCUUCCCACUGGCCCUGCCAGGCAUGCUGCCAUCUGUUCUCUGGGACUUGUGAGUAGUACACUGCUCCUGUUAUUUCAUGUGCUUUGCUAAGUUGUUUCUUCUGUGUCUCAACUGAUCAACACACCCAGACCUAACUGAUUUCCAGGUUGGGGCUCUCCUAGAGAGUGCCUCUCUUGGUAGGAAUAAACUGGACACAGACAAGAGCCUCCAUGGUGUCUGCCUGUAUAACCAAGUUUUCUAUGAGAGGGACAAUGGGUCAUAGAUUGAACACUUGGGCAUUACAUCUGUGAGAAUAAGUCUAUAGUAAAUUUCAGUAAAUUUGAGGGAUCUAAUUAUGGGGUUUCAGUAGAUCCUGGGGAUUUAUUGCAUUAUUCGAAGGAAAUAAAUGAAAGAAUCAGCAAAACAUACAGACACACAUAUAAAUAAUUAAAGAUGAAGAGGAUAAAGCUGGAUUAAUUGAGGAAAAUGCUAUCAGACAGGAAUUUUUGGUUCUGUAAUUCUGAAACACUGCAAUGCAUUAAGAAACCUGUACAUCAAGGGUGUCACCUGUCUAGGGUAGGGUAAUAUAGAGUAGUUGUUCUCAAAUGCGAGCAUUGGAGUGACCUGGAGGGCUUGUAAAAUACAGAAGGUCACCUACAUUCUCAGGAUUUCUGAUUCAGUAGGUUUGGUGUGGGGUCUGAGAAUCUAAAUUUCUAAUAACUUAAUUUCUGUAGGUUCCAAUAGUUUCCCAAAUCAUGCUGAUGCUGCCUCCUGAGAAAUAUUUUCAGAAUCACUGAGAAAAAUGUAUGAAAUAGUUAAUGUCCUUGCUCUGUGUCAGUGGUGGAGGCUGUCUGCAGUAGGAGCAUGGAGACCAACAAUGGAUGCUCUUAAACUGAUUUAAGCACGCUUCCAUGGUCAGAAGCCUUAUGGUUGCCACAGGGUAUUAGGAGCAUGGAGACCAAUAAUGGAUGUCCUUGUUCUGAUUUGAGGAUGCCUCCAAGGUCACAUACUCUGUUUGCACCACGCUUAGGAAGGAGCGUGAAGACCAAGGGGAGUAAUAGUCAAAGUCCUUACCUUUGUUUGGGUGGUUUGUUUAAGAGUAAUCAACGUAUUAUUUAAAAGUGUGAAAUACAGUCAAAGAUGGCCAAUGUUAUUCCAGUGAUAUGGGAGUGACAUGAAGUAUUAUAUUGAUGAUGCAUAUAUAAAAAACAGGAUAGUUAAUGAAACACCCAAUGUUUGAGUGAUUCUGUAUACUGAUAGGGAAUAUCAAGAGUGUUACUGGGUUUUGUGAAUCACGGGCCUUGAAAGUAUUAUUAAUGAAUAAAUGACAUAAUCAAUAGACAAGGUAGAAAUGAAUAGCAAAAAAAAAGAAGAUCAAUGAUGACUACUGUUAGUGUAUGAGUUACACAUGAUGAAUACAUGUCUGAAACUCUGAGGUCCAUCACAAAAGAAAUCUGGCCCAUUCCUUCUGAUUCAGGUGAUCCUAUGAAUAUACAAUGUGUUUGCUUUUGGUCUUUGGGUUUGUUCACUUCACUGUAUUAUUAUAAUUGGAUCAAUGAAAUAAUUUAUACGUAUACAUGUACGUAUAUGAAGGGGAUGAAGUAUUGUCCAAUUAUAAAAUAAGUGGUGAGGCAAGAUGUAUUAUUAUUAUUAUAUUAAAGCAUUAUAUUAAAGCUUUAAUAUAUUAAAUAAAAAUCUAAUAUUAAUAUAUAAUUAAUGCAAUAUUUAAUAUAUAUUAAAUAUGAUAACAUAUUAAAAUAUUAUAUUAAAGCAUUGAAGUCCUAAGGGAAAUAAAUGGUACCCCACUGUAACGUCUUUGACUAAGGAUGAUACAGGUGGUAGUUAUAGAUAAUGGUCAACCUCUGGGUCAAGGAAAGUUGCACAAAGUGUUCAUUUUCUUAAGAGAAAAUGAAAUAAUUAUCCUUCAGAUAGUGAUUUCUCAAAUGUUUUCCUAAAGGGAAGAUGAUAAACACAGAUCAUGGAGGACUGUUUUAUCUGUUUGUGAUCUGCCGUCCUCUGUGAGCCUCAGGAUGGAUGUUUGCCAGCCGAUUCCAUGGUUACAAGCUCUAUAGCUGCAUCUAUGUGUUAGGAGCAUGAAGACCAAUAAUGGAUGCACUGAGCUGAUUAUGAAUUUAGCCCUGAUGAAGACUUGUGUUGCUGUCAUGAUAUGAAAGAUUCCAGUAAUGAACGCACUUGAGUUGAUUCAAGCACGCUUCCAUGGUCAUGAGCUCUGUGGUUGCAUCUGUGUGUUAGGAGCAUGCAGACCAAUAGUGAUAAUCUCGAGGUGAUUUAUGCAUUCUUCCAUGGCCACCAGCCUUAUGAUUGCAUCUGUGCGUCACAGCUUAGAGAUCAAUAAUGGAUGCAACAAGCUCUUUGAAUCAUUCUGUUGGGAUCAAGAUUGUUGUGUUCCCUCUGUUUGGAAAGAGACCAAGAAUGGAUACGCUCAGGUGAUUUAAGCAGUCUUCCAUGGCCACGAGCUCUGUGGUUGCCUCUGUAUAUUAAGAGCACAGAGAUUAAAAAUGGGUGCACUUGAGCCGAUUGAAACAUUCCUCCUUGCAUCUUUCUUCUGUGAUUGCAUCUAUUUGUUAGUAGCAUAGAGACCAAUAAUAGAUGGCUUGUGCUGAUGGAAGGAUUCCUCCCUGGUGACAUGCUGUGUCUGCCUCUUGAUUGGGAGCACGCAGACCUACAAUGAUGCACUUUUUAUGAUUUGAGAAUUCCUUCAUGGUCACGUGCUCUGUUUUUAUCAUGGUUGGGAGCCUGCAGAGCAAUAAGGGACAUGCCUUUGCUGAUUUGAGGAUUCCUCUGAGGUUGGGAGCUAAGUUUGCAUCAUGCUUAGAAAGGAGUGUGCAGACCUGUAAUGAUUGCACUUUGCUGAUUGAAGGAUUCCUUCAAGUCCAUGUGCUCCACUUGCACCAUUUUUAGGAUGGAGCCUGGAGACCUAUAAUGAACAACUUGUGCUGUGUUAAGGAUUCCUCCAUGAUCACGCGCCCCAUUUGUACACCAUGCUUGGGAAGGUGCAUGCAGACCAAUGUUAGUAAUAGUCAAAAUUCCUGUGUCGGUUUGUGUGGUUUGCUAAACAGGACUCAAUGUAUCAUGAAACAGUGUAUUAUAUAGUCAACUAUGGUCAACUAUGUCCCAGUGAUAUUUAUGAGAGGGAUCUGAAGUAUUUAUUGAUAAUGCAUAUAUGAAAAACGGAGAAGAAUUAAUGAAACAGAUAUAUCUGUGUUAGAAUGAUUCUGUAUAAAGAUAGGGAAUAUCAAGUCUGUUCUUAGUGUUUUGUGAAUCACAGAGUGUAAAAUUAUUCCCAGUGAAUUAAUGAAUAAAUUUAAAGACAACAUAGAAAUGAAUGCAGAAAAAGAGGGUCAACCCUGGAUCGAUGAUGAGCACUGGUGGAGUAUGAGUCACAUACGAUGAAUACGUGUCUGGAACUCUGAGGU